GUCUAUUUGAAGUUAAACCUAGUCUAACCUGCCCAGUGAAAUUUUAACGGCCGCGGUAUCUUAACCGUGCAAAGGUAGCRUAAUAAUUAGUUUUUUAAUUGAAAGCUUGAAUGAAAGGUUGGACAAAGAAAUAACUGUUUCUAAUUUUAAAUUUUAAUUUUAUUUAUAAGUGAAAAAGCUUAUAUAACCUUAAAAGACAAUAAGACCCUAAAAAUCUUUACAAUUAAUUUUUAUAUUUUAUUUAUCAAGUCUAAUUAUUUUAAUAAAAUCAUUAUUGUUAUGUUGGGGCGACAAGAAAUUUUAAUAAACCUUUCUAUAUUUAAACAAAAAUAUUUGACCAAUAAUAGAUCCUUUAUUUAAGAGUUUGAGUUUAAGUUACUUUAGGGAUAACAGCGUAAUUUUCUUUGAGAGUUCUUAUCGAAAAGAAAGUUUACGACCUCGAUGUUGAAWUAAAAUUUCUUUAAAGUGCAAAAGCUUUAAUAGGUAAGUCUGUUCGACUUUUAAAAUUUU
rnacentral:rRNA from 1 species